rnacentral:lncRNA from 1 species
UAAACCUCUAGGGUAUUUCCUUUAAAUGCAAUAUAAAAAGUUAAAAAUGCCAAAAUUGUACAUCACGCUACGUAUGUAAUGCCGUUGCUAAAAGACAUAAAAUGUCUGCUGAUGUAUUGGACUUUGUGACCUCACUUACUUCUCAAAAAUAUAAUUAAUUUUUAUUUAUUUCUUACUUAUUUUAAGGGUCAAGCAGCCAAAUAAAUACUAACAUAUAAAUAAAAUAACUUCGUCCAAAAACAAGUAUACAUCGAUAUAAGCAUUUUGUAAAGGGAAAUUGGACUGUAUAACCUUCAAACAAAUUAUAAUUCAUUACGUAACUAAAACCCCUAACUUUCAUCUACAGUACAUGUAUUUUAUGUAAUAAUGCUAUAUUACCCUUCAAUUCAACCUGUGUGACCUGCUGAGAGUUAUUUAUCAAAAGAAAUAUUAAAUAAAUAAUUUAAUAAAUUGUGGUUAUCAUUCUUCCACAUCUCUUUCUCUUCUUCUUCCUCUUCUCCUCCAAUCUCUGUUUUUUUUAUACAUACGAACACAAACCACUAGAUUAAGAAAUAAUAUAGAUUUUGGGCUUGUGGAAUUGAGUUUGGAAGAGAAGAUGGCACCGUAGACAACAACGAGGUGACAUCACAAGUUCUUUUUUUUUUUAGUUUUUUUCAAUGUUGUUCAUCUUGAUUUUUUUCAUUGUUAUUUAAAUUGUUAUAGUAUCCUGUAUUGAUAUGGUAUGAUGAAGAAUAAUUACUCUGGACUAGUGAAUGUGUGUAUCACCAUGUCUGUAAAAAGAGGAAGAUGUGAAGAAGAUGAACUCGUCGACUAUACUAUAUGUAGUGAAAGAAAAUUAUAGUAUAGUACGAUUCUUAUAUUUUUGUACAAUUCGCAAGUACCAAACUAAAUAGUAUGCUACGGUUGUUGUAGUAUUGUACCAUCGAUUGUUUGAUAAAUUCAUUAUUUAUCAAUUUCUUGUUUACAACUAUAUGUGCUAUACUAUUUAUUUUGUUCUAUACUAUUUGGGUUUAGAAUUUAUACUUGGGUUUAGGUUUAAUGAUUAAGAUUUAGGGUUUAGUAUUUGGAAGGUGGGGGUUGAUGUUUGGGUUUAGUGACCGUAUUAUGUAUGUUCUAUUUGACGAUUAAAAAAGAGUAUUUUUUUUGCUUACCAAUUUAUACUAUACUAUGUAUUUUGUUCCAUUCUAUUUGGGUUUAUAGUCUAUACUUGGGUUUAAGGUUUAGUGAUUAGGAUUUAGGGUUUAGUAUUUGGAAGGUGGGAGUUUAGGUUUGGGUUUAGUGAUAGCAUUUUUGGGUUUAGUAUUCAAAAGUUAGGUCUGAGUUUAGCAUUGAGGAGUUUUGUUUGGAUUUAGUUUAAUAUUAUAUAAUAUUAUAUACUAUUUUCAGAUUUUGAUAAUUGGGUUUAAGGUUUAUAUUUGGGUUUAGGGUUCAGUAAUUAGGGUUUAGGGUUUAGUAUUUAGAUGGAAGGGUGAUGUUUAAAGUUUAGGGUUUAUUAUUUUGGAGUUGAGAUUUGGAUUAAAGUUUAGUAUUUAUUAGGUGUGAGUGGAUUUUGAAUCCUAUUAUUUUUAGUAAUAUGGUAUAGAAAAAUUAGAUGUAUAUUUAUGUGUUAAACAAAAGUGUGGUGUUGAUUGAAU